UACAGAGGGUGCGAGCGUUAAUCGGAAUUACUGGGCGUAAAGCGUGCGCAGACGGUUGCGUAAGUCAGAUGUGAAAGCCCCGGGCUCAACCUGGGAAUAGCAUUUGGGACUGGUCGGCUAGAGUUCGGGAGAGGAGAGUGGAAUUCCCAGUGUAGAGGUGAAAUUCGUAGAUAUUGGGAAGAACACCGGUGGCGAAGGCGGCUCUCUGGACCGACACUGACGCUGAGGCGCGAAAAGCGUGGGGGAGCAAACAGGG
rnacentral:rRNA from 1 species